rnacentral:lncRNA from 1 species
CGCUGCUAAGGGUCAGAAGAAUGGAAGACUUGAGAGGAAGCCCGUUCAGAAUCAAGUAGCCUCGUCUUGAAUUGUAUUGUACCUAAUGAAAUAGUUCCCGUGAGAUGUUCAGAAGAGCCAAGAUGUUGGCAUGAAUAAGAGAGAAAUUGAAUCCUGAAGUAUUCUCUGGCCUCUUUUUUGAAACUACCAUAACCCCAAUACAAAACCAAAAAGAAACAGACAUGUAUCAAAAUGAAGAUUAAUACCAACUUCUUCUGUGAACAUGGACACAAGUGCCCAUGAAGAAAUGUUAGAAGAUUAAAUGUAGCAGUACCUAUGAAAGAGUACCAUGUCAGGUCCAAGAGGACUAUGUAUGGAUGAAUGAAUUAAUAAGAGGAGGUAAACACAGAGUUCAUGCAAGGCUGAGUGGUAAACUAAUAUUCCCUGCAUCGGGGGCCAGAAAGGAUCAUUUGGACCCCUCGAUGCUAUCAUAAAAACAAAUGUUUUAAGUGCCAGAUAAAUGUGACUGUGGAUCUUUUUUAGAACUGCUUUUUCAGAUGUUUUCAAUGCUAGAGAGCGAUGAUGAAGAGCCCAGUCCUCUUUGUUCAGCUAAGCAGCGAGACCUCACUGAAGCAAAAGUCACGGUGCUGUAUGCAGAGACUGAUGGGGGAUGAUGCACCUGCAACUUGAAGGAUGGAGAGGCUCUGCUUUAGGGCUGUUCUUUGUGUGGUUAGUAAGGUGGCUGACUGAAAACAACUUGCAUCAGAUGAAAGGAUAUAGCUGACCUCAAAAAAGAAACCCCAACAGAUGCACUGUAUACUUUUUUAAAAAAGAAAAUAAAGACCACACAAGGCACA